GCAUUGUGCGGUUUUGCUUGUGGCGUCGUCUCUCGCCAUCGCUUUCGUUUUCACGGUUUUUGCUGUGUUUGAAUUCGUCUUUUCGACUGGCGUCUUUGGCCCACAGCAGCAAAUGUGAAGUCAAACACGCGACGAGAACAGGCACCAACACCAGCAGCACAUGGUACACAAGAAGACACUCUCACACCUGCGCAUAUCUUCAGCGCCCCAAUGCAGCUUCGCCCAAUCAAAAGGAGGCUGGCUUGGGUGUUUGUGUCCGCGAGUUUCCAUGUGUGGGCAUAUAUCGGUGUGCAUGUACGUGCCUCAUCGACACAAGUUUGUUUCAGAUAUGCAAGCGGAGCAAUUCCUGCUUCGGGUUUUUUUUCUCAGACAGAUAUCGAGUGGUUGCGUGCGUGCGUGUGCAUGUGCGUAUGCUCGCACUCCGUUCUUAUCACAUUAGCAGUCUCUGAACUCUUUCUCCGCCCACCCGCUACGAUACAGGCGAAAAGCGGGUUCUGGGCAUGGAUGAUGAUGUGGAUCGAGUACGCACCCAACCGCGAGAGCGCUUCCAUACACAAAGAUGCCGAUGUUUCGGGCUCAUCUACUGUAAGCAGCUUAUCCUCUUUUCCAUCUCUUUUCCAUCUCUUUUCGUCUCGUUUUUGUGUGUCCGUUUUUAUUUUCCACGCACGCAACACUCGCCUCUCUCUCCCCGCCAUGCGCCUGUCUACGCAAG
rnacentral:misc_RNA from 1 species